rnacentral:rRNA from 1 species
UACGGGGGGGGCAAGCGUUGUUCGGAAUUACUGGGCGUAAAGGGCUCGUAGGCGGCCAACUAAGUCCGACGUGAAAUCCCCAGGCUUAACCUGGGAACUGCGUCGGAUACUGGAUGGCUUGAAUUCGGGAGAGGGAUGCAGAAUUCCAGGUGUAGCGGUGAAAUGCGUAGAUAUCUGGAGGAAUACCGGUGGCGAAGGCGGCAUCCUGGACCGACAUUGACGCUGAGGAGCGAAAGCGUGGGUAGCGAACAGG